CCUACGGGGGGCAGCAGUGGGGGAUAUUGCACAAUGGGCGCAAGCCUGAUGCAGCCAUGCCGCGUGUGUGAAGAAGGCCUUCGGGUUGUAGAGCACUUUCAGCGGGGAGGAAGGCGGUGAGGUUAAUAACCUCACCGAUUGACGUUACCCGCAGAAGAAGCACCGGCUAACUCCGUGCCAGCAGCCGCGGUAAUACGGAGGGUGCAAGCGUUAAUCGGAAUUACUGGGCGUAAAGCGCACGCAGGCGGUCUGUCAAGUCGGAUGUGAAAUCCCCGGGCUCAACCUGGGAACUGCAUUCGAAACUGGCAGGCUAGAGUCUUGUAGAGGGGGGUAGAAUUCCAGGUGUAGCGGUGAAAUGCGUAGAGAUCUGGAGGAAUACCGGUGGCGAAGGCGGCCCCCUGGACAAAGACUGACGCUCAGGUGCGAAAGCGUGGGGAGCAAACAGGAUUAGAUACCCCAGUAGUC
rnacentral:rRNA from 1 species